rnacentral:lncRNA from 7 species
AGGUGUGUAAUCCAGAUAUAUUUUAUAGGAUUAUUUUUCCGAGAUUAGCACAGGAUAUUAGAAAGGUUAUAAAGUAACACCGACGUUCGUUGUCUCCCUUUAUGUACAUACAAGAACACAGCACAACAACACAGCCCGUCCUCCGCCCCACGGCCGCCCCACGGCGCUCAGAGCUCCGCACUAAUAUGGCUUUCGUGGUCUAUUGAGAGUUCAGUGCCCCAUGUCCCCGUCCCGGUGCUCCGGUGGCACGCGGUGGCCAUGGGGCCAAUGCAGCCCUCGUGCUUUGCGACCAUGACCAACAUCCUCCUCCCAUUGGGACCCAUGGCCAGUGUCCACCUUCCACUGGGACCACGACCAGUGUCCUCUUGUUGGGACCAUGACCAACAUCCUCCUCCUGUUGGAACCCAUGACCAACGGCCUCCUCCCAUUGGGACCCACAGCCAACAUCCUUCUCCCAUUGGGACCAUGACCAAUAUCCUCCCACUGGGACCCACGGCCAAUGUCCUCCUGUUGGGACUCAUGGCCAACGUCCUCCUCCAAGGAGAUGGAAGGAGAGGAACGGCAGUGAGGAACCCACAAGUUUUCCCCACUGGGGGGUGGCGAAGGCUUCGUGCAUCCCUCUCAAGGCACCCAAUGCUCUGCUGAUGGAGUGACGGAGCCAUGUGCCACGGAUGCAUCCCUUGUUCCUGCCAAGCCAUGGUGGCCCCACUCCCCAUCCACCACUCCACUCCUUGUCCUCUGGGUGGGAGCAGCACUUCCAUCCCACACUCUGUGGUGGAGGACCCAAUUCUUCCUUUACCUCCAAGAUGGGGCUGCCCACCCCACCCCAUUCCUGCACCAAAGGCUCAGCUCCUCUGGGCACCCCAAAAUGUAAUGGGGUGCUUCUGCGAGCCCCCUGCAUCCAGACCAUGCGAUGCCAGCACCCAGGAGGGGUUGGCCCUGUAGAUGUGGGGGUUUGGGGGAGCACGGCGACCCCAAUGAUGCGAUGGGGAGGUCAGAAAAAUCUUCUGGUUCCCAUCUGGCUUGGAAGAGAUGUGGUUUCUCCCCAGGUUGGAGGUGGGGCAAAUGCCCACCAAACCUCUUUGGAGACCCCCAAGCCACCGGGACACAAAACCCAAACAUUUUGGCCACCCUUGGAGCCAACGAGGCCUCUUCCAGCUCAGCACCAACCAUAGGAAGGGGCCGGGAAGGACAGGGGCAGCCCCGAGGAGCACCUGGAGCAGGGAACCCCCGGCUCACAUGGCUGCUGGGGCACGGAGCUGCCAGUCCUGGCGUGCAGCACGGAUUGGGCCGUCCCCACUGCACCAAAGUCACUCUCAGGACCCAAAACACCAUUCUGGAGGCUCCCGGGGCCACCGAGGAGGUGUUGGUGAUGGCCCAGCACUGAACAUCUCAAUAGAUGGUUUGAAUCGACGUCUCCAAUCUGAGAAUUUGCAAACUGGGGCUUCUUUUUUUUUUUUUGUCA